rnacentral:lncRNA from 1 species
GGGGGAGCUGCUAGGAGCCAUGAGCAGGAAGUGCUGUGGGCGGAUCUGGGUUUUAACAGUCACGCUGGCUGUGGGGGAGACUGCAGGGUGGGCCUGUGGCAUCUGCUUCCUCCUGCCUCACAAAUGGUCCACACGUGGCAGCUGAAAACAGCACGCACUUAUCAGCUCCAGUGUUCCACGUAUCCAUGAUUGGUGUGGCUUGGCUGGACCCCCAGGCUCAGAAUCUCACAGGCCCAGCUGGGUUGGGGUCUCAUCUGACAGCUCCACUGGGGAAGAACUGGCCUCCAAGCUCGGGUAUAUGGCUCUGGGCAGGAUUCUGGUCUCUGGGGCCUCAGUUCCUUGCCAGCUUUUAGCUGGACGUCACCCUCCGCCUCUUGCCCCAUGUGCAGGUUUCGGCACAGCCUCUGGCUUCACCAGACAGUGGGAGAGCGAGCAAGGGGGUGAGCAAGACGACACGGGGUUUUUCUGUGACCGGAUUUAGAAGUGACACCCCACUGCUUUUGCCAUUUUCUAUUCAUUCAAGAUGAGCCACGCUCCCCUGACACAUUCAAGCGUGGGAGUGCACAGUACAGCACAGCAGGGGCGCCACGGUCAUGUAGGCUGUCCCACAGAGGGCGAGCUUGGCAGCUGCUGGCUACGGCACCAGUCCAGGCCUGAGGCAGCGGCGGCUUGGACCAGCGAGGCCAGGAUGGAGGCCGGGGUGGAGGCCAGGGUGGAGGCCGGGGUGGAGGCUGUGAGCAGUGAUCGGAUGCUGGGUACUUGCUGAAGCUGCAGAAGAGAGGAUCUGCCUCAGGCUGGGAGAAGAAGAUCCACGCCUUCACCUUCAGCCUGAAGACCUGAGAUGGGGCAGCCAAGACCUGAGAUGGGGCAGCCAUGACCCAUGACCUGAGAUGGGGCUGCUGUGACUUGACUUGGGGCAGCUGUGACCUAUAACUUGAGAUAGGGUUGCUGUGACCUAUGACCUGAGACGGGGUAGCCGUGACCUAUGACCUAGCAUGGGGCUACCCAGCUCCACUCUUGGCAGGGACGUCCUAUGCCCUGGGACCUUCCUCCCAGAAGAAGAGGAAGGUGAAGAGAGGGUUAUAGGAAGCCCCAAGGCCCGGAAGCCUUGCAUGCUGUGUAGACGGUCCUGCUGGGAGACACCCCUUGCCCAGCUCCAGCCACCCACCCAGAGCACAGCAGCUGUGCCUGUGGAGAGCUCACCACCGCUCGAAGGGCCUGCCCCUGCAGGGAGGCACUGCCAGCCCCAGCGGGCCUGGCUCCCCAGGCCAGGGGCUCGUAAUCAGCUGGUGGCCUGCUCCCUGCGGUCCAGGAGAGGCGCACAGGCGGUCAGAUCCUCCAAAACCAAACACAGCUGCUUCUGCUCGUCCUGGAAAGGUGAUGAGAAGCCCUGGGAGGAGUCAGUGAAGUGCCUCGGAGCCUAGGAGCCCUUGGCCUGAGCCUGCUGCAGCUGAUUUUCCGAGCAGGGCCAUCUGAAUGGGGGCGGCUUCUCCCAGGGCCCCCUCGGCUGAUGUAGG